GGAGAGAGGAGGAGUUGGCGCGAUCGGACGUGGGAGGGCUGGGUUCGUCUGUGGCGUAGGGAGGCUGCUUUCUGGCCACCGGCGGGGCGGGCGACAACAGCGUCUUAGUAGGCAGGCUGGCUGGUGUGUCGGGGUUCAGGGAAUAUGGCGGGGAACCGGCGUAGAGGACAUGUAUAAAUAAUUCAAGGCACAAGAAACACAUUUUCCAGUUUGUUUUCCUUUCCUCCUGUUGAUUUGUAUAGCACUUCAGACAGCAGUUCAGACUAACUUCUAGAGAGUCAGGGCUAAGGAGAGAAGACCACCCCGUGAGUGGAUUUGGACAUGGAUAGGCUGUAUUCGAGCUCUUCGAAAGCAGACUGUCAUUACUUCCGUGUUCUGAUCAUUCAGAGAUUAGGAGAUACAGUUCCUGCCUUUGGUUUACAUACAGCCAAGCGGAGCAGACACAGGUCAAUAGUUGCUGUAUGCCACUAAAAAAGAGAUUUAUCAGCAGGUUGCAGGUGAACAUGGCCUUGAGAUAAAUCCUGCCCCUUGUUGAAAUUCAGUUUCAGCAGAUUAUUCAUGAUAUUUUGGGAACUGGAAUAUUUCACAGAAAAAAAAAUGUUUUGUUUGGUUCUGUUCUAGACUUGUUUUUUCUUCUUGUAGAAGAAACAUGUUUAAACAAAAGUUCUUUAUGCUGAAUAAUUGUGAUGCUUUUAGCUGGUCAUCUGUCUUAUUUUAAUUAAGUAGAUUUUAAAUCCCAAUGUUCACUGCCAGUUCUGCAUGAUUUUUCUUAGUCAAAUAAAAAUUUCACUCAAACCUUA